rnacentral:rRNA from 1 species
AGUAAUGUCUGGGAAACUGCCUGAUGGAGGGGGAGUAACUACUGGAAACGGUAAGCUAAUACCGCAUAACGUCGCAAGACCAAAGAGGGGGACCUUCGGGCCUCUUGCCAUCGGAUGUGCCCAGAUGGGAUUAGCUAGUAGGUGGGGUAACGGCUCACCUAGGCGACGAUCCCUAGCUGGUCUGAGAGGAUGACCAGCCACACUGGAACUGAGACACGGUCCAGACUCCUACGGGAGGCAGCAUG